GGAAGGUCGUAACGUAAUUAUUGCUAGUUUCUGUCCUCAAGUAUUUGGACUAUAUGUAGUUAAGCUUUGUAUAUGCUUAGCUCUCGUUGGAGGGGUCCAGUAUGUUGAUGAGUCUGGCACUCGUGUUAGAGGUGACUGUCACUUACUACUAGUGGGAGAUCCAGGCACUGGAAAAUCUCAGUUUCUCAAGUUUGCUUCAAGUCUCAGUCCUCGUUCUGUA